AUGUACCCUGAGAUGGACGAGGGGGUGACCACCACCUCCCAGACCCUCAUCAUGGGCGUCGCCCCCUCCAAGGGCACCCCGUCGUUCGAGGCCGCCGCCGAGACCGGAGCCGACAACGGCGGGUGCAAGUGCGGCUCCAACUGCACCUGCAACCCGUGCACCUGCAAGUGA
rnacentral:rRNA from 1 species